UGUUCCUCUGUACACUUUGAAAGGUAUAGGAGCAAUGUUCUUCUGUACACUCUGGAGAGGUAUAGGAGCAAUGUUCCUCUGUACACUCUGGAGAGGUAUAGGAGCAAUGUUCCUCUGUACACUCUGGAGAGAUAUAGGAGCAAUGUUCCUCUGUACACUCUGGAGAGUUACAGGAACAAUGUACCUCUGUACACUGUCGAGAGGUAUAGGAGUAAUGUUCCUCUGUAGAGAUAUAGGAUCAAUGUUCCUCUGUACACUCUGGAGAGUUAAAGGAACAAUCUUCCUUGUACACUGUCUGG